rnacentral:lncRNA from 1 species
UUAGUUCCUAAUUUUUCUCAUCUCUCUCUAAAUUAAAAUAAAAUUCAUACACGGUUCGGCAAUUUCUUCUCUCUCAAUCGCACAAUCACAUCAAAAGGGAUCUGAGAACCCUUCCUACAAAUCGCAGAUAAAGCAUGAUCUAAUCGGCCUCUCGCGAUAGCCCUAUCGCAACUCUCAGGUGUUGUUUUUUCACAUAUUCUUUGAUGCCAACAAGUCUUUAAUUUGUUGAUGGUUUUUCAGUGGUUUAUCACUCCGCUUUUAGAUAGAUACAGAUUGAAAUCUAUUUGUUUAUUUUAAUUAUGAUAUUGAGAAUAUACGUUUUCCAUUGAACCAAUUAAGGUUUGGGCUUUCUUUUUAAUUAUUUCUCAAAUUACUUGAUUGUAUAUCUGAUUUGAUAUUUUUUUUUAUUUUUCUUUCACUAACGAAUAUGAAAUCGUGAAAGUAGUUAAUUAUACUUUUCUCUGUUAUUUUUAGUUAUGGUAUUCUUUCAAUAAUUACAUGUAUGUAUGUAAAUAGUUUAGUUAUACAUAUAUAAUUACAUAUGUGUUAAUCGUUAACUUACACAUAUGUAAGUACUUAACUUACAUAUGUUUAAUACUGGGUUACAUACGGAAAUGGUAAUUGUUUCAGUUUUAGUUUACCUAUAUUAUAUCUAUAUUUAGAUUCUAAUUUUACAUAUUAGUUAACAAAAAUUAAAUCUGCAUAUUUAAAUAUCAAAGUUAUUUUUAUUUAUCAAGUAUUUAUUUUGCAUUCAUGACAGGCUUUGAGAGAUUAUCAUGCUUUUGACCAUUUGAGGUGUUUGCUUUGGAAAUACAUCUAAGCUCAAUGGAGAAGAAAGAGACGAGUGAAAAUGCAUGUUUAGGUUGAUAAAUGUAUAUAACGAGUUGACGUUAGUGUAUAUAAUUUUGAACAAUUUUAAUAUGCACACGUGUACACAUUUUUUAUCCAACACAUGAGUGAAACAUCUAUACACAUAUGUGUAAUUGUAGAUUUGAAUUAUGUCUUUGAGCAUUUCCACCCGUUUUUAUUAUACUCACGAUCAAUUUAAAAUUUAAAAUUUGGAUGAUUGUAUAAAGAUUUACAUAUAUGUUAAUAAAUGAUUAUUUUGAAAAUCAAGUAAUCAUUAUCAAGUUUGCAUAUAUGUAAAUAGCAUGUUUACAUAUAUGUAAGUAGUUGUUUAGUUUAAAAAAUGGAUUAGUAGUAUGAAUUUAAUAUGUGCAUAUGGAUGCUCAUCUUUAAACAAAUCGAUUACUAGUUUAGAAAGUUACAUAUAUGUAAAUAUUACAGAUAUGAUGAACACUUUCUUACACAUUUAAAUAGGCCAUGAUUAAUAAGUUUGAUCUUUAUUCAUUUUGAAGGAAACGAGGAACCCUAUAAAAGUUAAGUUAUUUGUAAAUCUUCACAGUUCAAAGAGAUGAGAUGGGAAAGAAGGAAGGGAGAAAGUUAAUUAGAUUUUAAUAUAUUUGUAAAUUUGUACAGUUCA